rnacentral:rRNA from 1 species
GAUGAACGCUGGCGGCGCGCCUAACACAUGCAAGUCGAACGGAGUGGCGAACGGCUGAGUAACACUUGGGCAACCUGCCCUCCUCUUGGGGAUAGCCUCGGGAAACCGGGAUAAUACCCGAUAGAGAAGGAUGGCCCGCGGCCUGUUAGCUUGUUGGUGGGGUAGAGGCCUACCAAGGCAAUGAUGGGUAGCUGGGUUGAGAGACCGACCAGCCAGAUUGGGACUGAGACACGGCCCAGACUCCUACGGGAGGCAGCAGUGGGGAAUCUUGCACAAUGGGCGAAAGCCUGAUGCAGCGACGCCGCGUGCGGGACGAAGGCCUUCGGGUUGUAAAGCUCUGUUAAUCGGGACGGCGAACAGUUAGAAGGAUUGACGGUACCGGAAUAGAAAGCCACGGCUAACUACGUGCCAGCAGCCGCGGUAAUAC